rnacentral:tRNA from 2 species
AAAAUGAGAUACGUCAGUAUGACAAUACGUCAUCCUAAACGUUCAUAAAACACAUAUGAAACAACCUUAUAACAAAACGAACAACAUGAGACAAAACCCGUCC